ensembl:lincRNA
GCAGCACAGGUCUGGGCAACUUCAGUCUGUUCCCAGGAAGAAAUCAGAAAUGAAAGACUGGUGCUGACAAGUUCCAGGACCUGGGCUCAGCAGAUAAUCUGAAGCAGGAUUUCCAACCAAGGAGAUGAGCCAAGCUGUUGGCUGGAAGAGCUGGGAUCCGAGGCAGGGUGAAUAGACGGAAACCAGGAUGGGGAGCGAGGCCGAACCGCAGGCCUGAGGGCCGCAACCAUAUUUAACCAGGAGACUUGGAUCUGGAUUCUCUGGAUACUAGGGAGUGCAAGAGAGAACAAAAGCAAGGAGAGUGGCAGAGGGAGAUGGAGAAGCAGACUUCCUUCUGAGCAGGGAGCCUGGCCCCAGGUUCCACCAGGCUUGACCCCAGAACCCUGGGAUCAUGACCUGAACUGAAGGCAGACAUUUAACCCUCUGAGCCACCUAUGUGCCCCAGGUAACUCUAUCUUUAAUCAAGACUACAUGAUUUUAAAUUCUGGCUCUGUUUCUUGCCAUGUAUGUUUUGGGGCAAGUUAUGCCUCAGUUUGUUUAUCUAUAAAAUGGGACCAGUAGUGCCCAUGUGGUUUAAACAAAUUACAAUGUGAAAGGCUCAUAGUAUAUCCAUAGACAUCAUAGAAAUGUAUUUUUAAAAUCAAUUUCCAGAUUUUCUUCCUUAAAGAUUUUGUGAGACUCCUUAAGCCAGAAGGAUAAAGGAGUGAAUAACUCAGGUUUGGCCAGAUCUGGACACUUCUUCCUCGACUGUCCCAGCUCUGCCAACCAUUCUCUGUUUUCUCAUGUCUAUCCCCACACCAUUUCCCUGUUUGAAUUGUUACCUCUUUUCUUCAGUGCCUUAUAAGGAUUUUAAGUAGUAUUUAUUCUUUGCAUUGGCAAAGGUUCAAAGUUCACCUAAAUACAAGGUUUAAAGAGGCUUCAUUUCCCAGCAAUAUAGUUUGCAAGCAGUUGACUUCCCGCUUUACUUGUAAACUGUGGGGAAGGUUCUUAUUUAUUUUUGGCUCUUUACUCUUAACCUGAGUAUCCUACCCUAAGUGUCUCUGUCACAUGGCGCUGGAGGAACUCAUUUAUUCUUCUCCAUUUGCUUGAUGGGGUCCAAACUGAAACAGCCCGCACCUUGGUACAGUGCCUUGACUCUUCCCUGCUGACUCUUCUAUGUUCUACUAAUGCUUUCUUUGAUUAAGCCAGUCAUGCUUGGAACCGUGUAGGCUACAUGGAUAGUAAGCUCCUAAGUCCUGAAAUGCUCUGUUUAACAGCAUGACCCAGAGGACUUUGGCUCACAGAUUUUUUUCACUGAAGAAACAAUUAGGUUGGCAUAAAGAUAAAAUAUGUUUUAUUGUCAACUAUCCACCAAAUACAUCAAAUCAUUCUUAGCCAAAGAAGACAAAGGGGGAAUUAUGUUUACUAAGAGCUUACUGUGUAGCAGAAACUAGUUACUUUAAGGUCUAUUUUGGAGUAGGUCAAGGCUGGAGCAUGACAUAAGGUCCUCUGA